rnacentral:sRNA from 1 species
GCCAGAAGUGCACCAUCAAAUGAGGCGGAAAAACUGAUUUACAUGAGCUGGCUUUAUAACACUAUUGUGACAUUUCACGGCAUGAAAUUAUGGGCUUAAAGCCCUGCCAAUAUGGUACAAUCCAUUCUUCAAUGUCCUCCUCCAGCAGGCACAAUCAUGCCCGUUGUGACGCAUGGUUGAUUGGCUAAAUCGAUUCCUACGCCUGACCAACCUCUUUAUCGACUGCAAAGCAUUAUUAUAGCUCCCCUACGGAGUGCAAUGCUGCUCACUUGCACUGAUUAAGGCCCUCCUACAAUAGGGGCCUUAAAAAAAAAAUUUUUUUUCGUACCUGGAGGAGCAGCUGGCGCUUAAGUCCUUCAACCCAUGGGACCUCAGCGGCUCGCUUGGCAUGAAUUGAAUACAGGGCGCUGCUAACAAGAGCCAAAUGAAUGACGGAAG